rnacentral:rRNA from 1 species
AUUGAACGCUGGCGGCAGGCUUAACACAUGCAAGCCGAGCGGAGAUGAGGUGCUUGCACCUUAUCUUAGCGGCGGACGGGUGAGUAAUGCUUAGGAAUCUGCCUAUUAGUGGGGGACAACAUUCCGAAAGGAAUGCUAAUACCGCAUACGCCCUACGGGGGAAAGCAGGGGAUCUUCGGACCUUGCGCUAAUAGAUGAGCCUAAGUCGGAUUAGCUAGUUGGUGGGGUAAAGGCCUACCAAGGCGACGAUCUGUAGCGGGUCUGAGAGGAUGAGCCGCCACACUGGGACUGAGACACGGCCCAGACUCCUACGGGAGGCAGCAGUGGGGAAUAUUGGACAAUGGGCGGAAGCCUGAUCCAGCCAUGCCGCGUGUGUGAAGAAGGCCUUUUGGUUGUAAAGCACUUUAAGCGAGGAGGAGGCUACCUGGAUUAAUACUCUAGGAUAGUGGACGUUACUCGCAGAAUAAGCACCGGCUAACUCUGUGCCAGCAGCCGCGGUAACAC